GACGAACGCUGGCGGCGUGCUUAACACAUGCAAGUCGAACGGAAAGGCCCUGCUUGCAGGGUGCUCGAGUGGCGAACGGGUGAGUAACACGUGGGUGAUCUGCCCCUUACUUUGGGAUAAGCCUGGGAAACUGGGUCUAAUACUGGAUAGGACCAUGCUGUAGGUGGUGUGGUGGAAAGAUUAGUUUCGGUAAGGGAUGAGCUCGCGGCCUAUCAGCUUGUUGGUGGGGUAAUGGCCUACCAAGGCGUCGACGGGUAGCCGGCCUGAGAGGGUGGACGGCCACAUUGGGACUGAGAUACGGCCCAGACUCCUACGGGAGGCAGCAGGGGGGAAUAUUGAACAAUGGGCGCAAGCCUGAUGCAGCGACGCCGCGUGGGGGAUGACGGCCUUCGGGUUGUAAACUCCUUUCAGCCAUGACGAAGCCUUCGGGUGACGGUAGUGGUAGAAGAAGCACCGGCUAACUACGUG
rnacentral:rRNA from 1 species